rnacentral:rRNA from 1 species
GUGGGGAAUAUUGGGCAAUGGGCGAAAGCCUGACCCAGCAACGCCGCGUGAAGGAAGAAGGUUUUCGGAUCGUAAACUUCUAUCCUUGGUGAAGAUAAUGACGGUAGCCAAGAAGGAAGCCCCGGCUAACUACGUGCCAGCAGCCGCGGUAAUACGUAGGGGGCAAGCGUUGUCCGGAAUGAUUGGGCGUAAAGGGCGCGUAGGCGGCCCGGUAAGUCUGAAGUGAAAGUCCUGCUUUUAAGGUGGGAAUUGCUUUGGAUACUGUCGGGCUUGAGUGCAGGAGAGGUAAGCGGAAUUCCCGGUGUAGCGGUGAAAGGCGUAGAGAUCGGGAGGAACACCAGUGGCGAAGGCGGCUUACUGGACUGUAACUGACGCUGAGGCGCGAAAGUGUGGGGAGCAAACAGGAUUAGAUACCCCAGUAGUCC